GUCUAUGGCAUACUACCCUGAAUGUGCCCGGUCUUAUCUGAUCUCAGAAACUAAGUAGUGUCAGGUCUGGUCAGUACUUUAAUGGGAGAUCACAUGGGAAUACUGGGUGCUGUAGGUA
rnacentral:rRNA from 1 species